AGGACUGUCCGAUGCGCGUCCACGUUCAACCGAGAAUCCUCUGACUUGGCGGUCAUUCCUAACUUCUUCACCGACAUCAUUAUGGUUACCAGGACUGAAGAUGAACUAUAUACCCAAGAGGAGAGAGACCGCCCUGAGUUGACAGUACGCCCCACCUCAGAAAUUGUGCCAACCAAAAAAUACAGCAGUCUGGGCCAGCUGAUCACCCUCUCUGCAAUGAGAUGCCAGUUUGUCCUUGCAUGUUGCUGUUAACUGAGGCUCCCCGGGAGGCCAUCGAGAGGCAGAGGAGAAAUGCAUCUUGGGAGUC